AUGGUAUGCUGGAAAUCUGGGCCCUUGGGUUCCCAAAAUAUUAAAUACUCUGCUUCUGACUUGCAGCAUAAUGCUGACCAAAUUGCUUCCAUUCCUGCCUCUGUUUCUCUAUCUGUAAAAUGGGAGAUAGUAGAGCAUGAUUCUCAAGACAUAGAUUCUAGAAUCAGACUGCCCUGAUUCAAAUAUUUGUUCCAACUUUUACACUGUGUUUGGAGGCAAUUACAUGAUCUCUCUUGAGCCUCAGUUUUCCUAUCCAUGAAAAGAGCAUACUAAUAGUACUUAUAAGAUUGUUGUGGGAAUUUGGGAAGAAAAUCUGCACAAAUUAUUAGCAUUCUGUACAAAUUAUUAGCAUGUAUUGUUUUAUAAGUAUCCAAUAAUGUUGGGAAAUAUUAUUAGAAUGGGAGGGGGAGGUAUUCUAUACUACAGAAUACUAUUCAGCAACAAAAGAGAAUUAACUAUUGAUACAAGCAACAAUAUAAAUGAAUUUCUAAAACUAGCCUGAGCAAAAGAAGUCAGAUGCAAAAGUACAAACUAAUUCUAUUUUUAUGAAACUCUAGAAAAGACUAGCCUAAUCUACAGUGGCAGAAAAACCAGGUAAGUGCUUAAGGCCUGGAGUAUGCGGUCUGUGAUGAUUAAUGCUUUGUGUCAACUUGACUGGGCCAAGGGAUGCCCAGAUAGCUGAUAAAACACUCUUUCAGAGUGUGUCUGUGAGGAUCUUUCCAGAAGACAUUAGCAUUUGAAUUGGUAGACUAAGUGAGCAAGAUCCCGCAAAAAGGCAGAGGAAGGGGGAAUUUGUUCUCUUUACCUGAGCUGGGAUAUCCUUCUUCUCCUGCCCUCCUCCUUUGGCGCUCCUGGCUCUUGGACAUCCAGAAUCGGAUGGAUUUAUACCAUCAGCUCCCCAUGUUCUCAAGCCCUUGGACUUGGGUUAAAUUACACCACUGGCUGUCCUAGGUCUCCAGUUUACAGAUGGAAGGUUAUGAGAGUUAUUGCCUCCGUAACUGCAUGAGUCAGUUCCUAUGAUGAAUUUCCUUUUAUGUCUAUCUGUAUGUAUCCUAUUGGUUCUGUUUCCCUGGAGAAUCCUGACUAAUAUGGGGUCUCACUGUAAAAGGGGCACAAUGGAAUUUGGGGACCAUGGAAGUGUUCUAUAUUCUGAUUGUGAGAAUAGUCACAUGGAUGGAUCCAUUUGUGGACACUCCCAGACCUGAAUACUUAAAAUCAAUGCUUCUUUCACAUGUAAAUUGUACUUCAGCAAAGUAGAUUUUAAAACUAAAAUAACAAAAAACUUUAAACAGUUGGGCUAGAUGAGUUCUAAGUCCAAUUCUCGGAGAUCCUGACAGGUAUGGCCCCUGUUCCAUCCUCCAAAUAGGACUUGCAGGCCAGGAGCCCUUUUUCUCCAUCCUCCCUUCCUCUGGGCCACCUCUGCACAUCUUGGUCCCAUUCCCUGCCCUCAGGUCAGCCAACUGCAGCUCUCGGCUGUUUCAGUAAACCAAGAUAAGGAUGCAGGCUGGAGCAGUAUGAGGCCUUAGACAUGAGUCGGAGACCCAGCUAUUAGCUCAUAAUGGCGAUGAAAAUGUUUGCAGCCCCUACUCACCAGUGGGCUGGGGGACCCAGUGACCCUUCUGGCUGCUAGAGUCUGCUGACCAUGAUUCACGAGCCAGCGUGGGAGGCAGCAGAGGAGUCAGCUGAUGGUGACAUUUCAGGAUCUGGCCUUCUUUUUCUGAUCAUUAGCAACUAUGUUGGGAAUAAGACAGGGCCCCGUUUAGCUGAUCAGAACUUCCAGGGCUAGAUAUGGAGAGAAGCUAAAAAGGAGAUGGGAAGGUACCAGCCUGUGCUAGGUGAUUUACACAAAUUAUUUUGCUUCCCACUGUGACAUUAUGGGUUUGAACUACUAACUGUAGUAAUCAUAAUAACAGCUAGCAUUAAUUGAGGAUUUACUUUGUGCCAGUCCCUUCCUUAAAGGACUUUAUAUUCAUUAUCUCAAGCUAACUUAUAUAACAAUUAUAUGGCAUAGAUAACAUCGUUAUCCUCAUUUUUCUGGUUAAAAAAUUGGGUCAGGUUUUGGGUCAGGGCACAGAGAGAGGGCACUUGCCCAUCUCACAGCUUUUAAGUGGCAGAGUUGGGACUUGAACCUACUUCAUCUGAUGCCAGAGCCUGAAGAACGCAGAUGCCUUGAUGUCCUAUCCUUCAGCACAUACAAAACAGAACAAGCAAACACAUUAGAAUGGACGUGGAAUGGAUACGAAAGACCCUAUCUACCCUGAGAGUCAACUUUGAGUGCAACUUUGAGUCAAAGACCACGGAGGGGAUGCAUGGAGUAUUAGCCUGGCUGGACCAGUCUAAGAUGCCCAGGUUGAAGACCUUAAAAACAUCCAUGGGAUUUGGCCAUUUGUAUUUAGCCAAACUCUUGGGCUUUGGUUCAGCAUUCUGUGAGUUUGAAAUCUACACCAAACCCUGUGCCAGAUGAAGGAACACAGAGAUGAAGAAUAUAAGGCUGUUGCCUUCAAGAAGAUCACAGAUAUGGCAAAGGUGGAGCUCCAGCAGGCACUGACCAUGUUCAGCAUUGAAUAGCAACCAAAAGCCAUCUACAAGGAACUGCUCCCCUAUGCCCAGACAGCCAAAGGAGAACUCACGAAGGCCCAGAAUGUCAGAGAUAAUUCUGAUUCUGGCAUAAGAAGCUGGAAGAUAAGAAGUCUUUGUUAGUUCCUCCUUCAUGGGUACAAUGAGGUAUUCAUGCUAUUCCCCUCGGGACUUGGGAAGUCUUUUAGGCCCAAGAAAGGUCUGUGCGUCAUCAUAAUUGUGUAAUAUGGCUGCCCUCUUUCCGCCCCACCCCUUGACAUAUCCUGGUCAGGCAAGUUAAAGUUCUGUUGAUGCGCUAACUGUUGUGGCCACCAUCAAUCACACUUCCUUCAGUGGUCUUUGAUAUGGCCUUCCAAAGAGCUGGAAAUCUGGGGACCACUUCCUUCCAUCGAUCUCACCCCCUAUUUUCUGCCACCAUGUAAAGGGAUUGAUUCCAUUUAAAGGCAUUGUGACGUGAGGACAAGGCACAGCCUCAGAAGUUUAACUGCCCUGAGUCUGAAUCACUUACCAGCCAUGAAGGCUUGGACAAUUUUCUUAACCUCAGAACCUCAGGAUUUUGUUUUGUCUUGUUUUUGUCCAAUGUGGAAAAUAAGACUUAUGGAACAGCUUCAUAGAGUUGAUAUCCAGAUUAAAUGGAACAGCAUAGGUAAAAUCCCCAGCACUUUACUGACACCUAGCCGAUGCCCGAUAAAUAUAGUUGCCAUUUAUCGGUUCUAGGCAGGUUUGGUGAAAUAAAUGGACAUAUCGAGCCCCACGUUGGGCUCUGUGCUGACAACAUGGAGCCUGCUUGAUAUUCUGUCUCCCUCCCUUGGUAUUCUGCCCCUCCCCCACUUGCCCUCUAUAUCUCUAUCAAAAUAAAUAAAAAUAAAACUUAAAAAAAAGAAAGAAAGAAAGAGAAAGAAAGAAAGAAAGAAAGAAAGAAAGAAAGAAAGAAAGAAAGAAAGAAAGAAAGAAAGAAAGACGUGGUCCCCACCUUUGAGAAACUUAGGGUCUUUUCUCCAUAUUUAUGACUCUCUUCUGUUUUGUCCCCCUCCCUGUGUUUAUAUUAUUUUUGUUUCCCUUCCCUUAUGUUCAUCUGUUUUGUCUCUUAAAGUCCUCAUAUGAGUGAAGUCAUAUGAUUUUUGUCUUUCUCUGACUGACUAAUUUCACUUAGCAUAAUACCCUCCAGUUCCAUCCAUGUAGUUGCAAAUGGCAAGGUUUCAUUCUUUUUGAUUGGGCUAAAUAGGUAAGGGGCGCUAAGGAAUCUACUCCUGAAAUCAUUGUUGUACUGUAUGCUAACUAAUCUGGAUGUAAAUUUUUAAAAAUAAAAAAUUAAAUUAAAAAAAAAGAAACUUAGGGUCUUUAUCAUAAAGAUAGGUGGUUCCUUAUCAUAAAUAUGAGUGAUUAGGCCCACCUGUGUGAAACAUCCCCAUCUGUAAAUUGGGCAAUAAGAUCUACCUCAUAUGAUGUAUAGACACUGUUAACCCCCACUCUACCAAUAAGAUGAUGAAGCACGGAAAGACUUAGUGACUCAUCUGUGGUCAUGGAGCUGGGAAGCAGUAGAGCUAGGAUUUGAACCUGCUCUCUGGCUCCAGAGCCCAUGUUCCUGCCACUCCUUUCUGCUACCUGCAUCAUCUUACUGAGCUAAGUGAAUGGGAGGAGUCACCAGGAAGCAGAAGGUGGUGGAAAGAGAGUUGGAUUUGCAGUCAGGAAGGUUGGAAUCUGACUUCACAAUGAUGGUGGCUGUGGGCAGAUCACUCCAUUUCCUUAUUAGCAAAUGACACGAAUAACAACUUAUGCCUGAGAGUUCCUACAUAGAUCUCAUUAGACCCAUUGGUUCAACACAUGGUUGUCAGAAGCCUGCAGUGUGUCAGACAUUGUCCUAGGUGCUGGGGAUGAAGCUUGAGCAAGAGACAGGAGCUGGUCUCAGAUCAGGUCCCUGCCCUGCUGUCUAAUGAGAGAAUAAGAUCAUGUGCUUGGAAGUGCAUCCUAAACACAAGUUUGUCGUUAGUGUUAAGCAAGUGGAAAGUGCUUGCAGCUCUUCUGAUUAAAACAAAACAACAAUAACCCUAACAGGUACAAUGUAUGAAGCAUUUUCUCUGCACCAGGCACUAUGUUAAGCUCUUUGUGUGGUUCUUCUACAGCAGUCCCCUCAAAAUAUCGCAUGAAGCCAUCAUAAUUGGUUCCCAUUUUACACAGGAAAAAACUGAGGCCUGGAGAGGUUAUUAAUUAACAGCCAGUUAAGCACUGGAGCUGGUUUUCAAACAUAGGUGGUCUGCCUUCAAAGCCUCUAGUCCUAAAUAUCACAUCCGGUGGCUUCCACUUCAUGUUACUGCUGCUUCUGGUUAUUUGUAUCUCAGGAAUAUAUUUAGAAACAUCUGGAAGUCUUGUAAAGGGCUUUAUCGUUAAGUAUGGGGAAUUUAGCCCACAAGCCUCCAUCGUCUAGUCAAGCCUGGCCUUGAUCCUGCACCUACUUUAGACAUAAAGACAGAUGCUCAGCUGAAGGGCUGGGGAGCAGAGCGCCAUGGCAUUCACUGGCGAGAUCUCCCAGCCUUGGCAGUUACCUCACCACUGGCCUUUACAUCACUGCUGGCCAAGCCAAGUGCCUGGGUUGUGUCCUGAAUCUAAAAGCCUGACCAUAGGCUUUUAUGAAGCUGUAUCUUGCUGAGAACUUCCUGGGCAUUACCUCACUUGUCCUCUAUCAACUUCCCCAGAAACUGUGGCUGGCAGCCUCAUCCUAGAUUUAUAGAUUGUGGAGCAGUAGGCUCCAGAAACAGGAAGUGACCUUUUCAAGGUGUCCUCGUACAGGUGGGUACAGGGAUGUGACUCUUAAUCCCCCAAAUGUCAUCCACAGCAUUAAUGGCCAGAGACCUCAGAUCACACCACUAGGGGCAGCAGAGGUCAGACAGGAAGUCUGUGGAAGCCUCUUAAUCCAAGACCCUCACCCUGCAUGAUGUUGCAUUCAUUCUUCUACUGCACAGAUAUUUAUUGAUCACCUACUAUGUGCCUCGGUAGGCACUAGGGAUAGCAAGGUGGAUAAGGCCGAUGCAAUUCCUGCUCUUACAGAACUCAAAAGGCCAGCAAGGAAUAGACCUGGUUAACGAGUAAUUACAACUGUGAUGAAUAUUAUGAAGAGAACAGCACAGAGGGCUCUGGGACCACACAUUAGGUGACAUACCUUGUGCAGGUCAUCAGAAGAGACCAUCGUCGAAAGUGGUGUUUGUGGUGACACAUAGGAUGAGGGUGAUUGUUUCAGGUGAAGAGGAGAGAGAACUCCAGGUACUUGAAUAUGCAUCUUGAGAGAGAUUCAUGGAAGAAACUGAAACAUAAUAAAAGUGGCAAGAAAUGUGACUGGUGUGGAGGUACAGGCAAGAUGAGGAAGGCUUUGAGGUCUGUAUUAGUUUCUGUGCUGCCUAACAAAUUACCACACAUUUAUCAGCUUAACACAACACCUUAUUACAUCACAGUUUAUGUGGGUCAGGAGGUACCAGAACCUCCUGAUUCUCAGAACCAGGUUCUGCAGAACUUAUCAGCAAACCCUAAACAAAUACACUAUUUAGGUGUGGGUUAACAUGUUAACCAGACUCACAGCAUUAUUGUAUAAAACUGAAAUGAGAACCAUAUAGUUAACACUUAGAUCGGAACACCCUUGAAGACAUCAUCAGUUCAUCUUCUUCCAUCAAAAUAUGUAGGAAAUUUAAUUGCAGUCAUAAUGCCAAUCUAUUGGGGUGGCUCAGUCGCUUUAGCAUCCAGCUUCGGCUCAGGUCACCAUCUCAUGGUUCAUGAGUUCAAGCCCUGUGUCGGGCUCUAUGCUGACAGCUCAGACCCUGGAGCCUGCUUCGGAUUUUGUGUUUCCCUCUCUCUCUCUCUGACCCUCCCCUUAUCAUGAUCGCUCUCGCUCUCUCUCUCUCUCUCUCUCUGUCUCAAAAAUAAACAUUAAAAAAUUAAAAAUAAAAAUAAAAGAACUCUAAUCUAUUAAUUCAUAAUGAGAAAAUCCACUGAAAUGAUAAAAAUCCUGGAAUCUUCAUGUCUAGCCCAUCCUCUGAAACCAGAAACACAUGGGAAGCCAUAGCAUACUCAGGUGGCUGUUUAGCCAAGUGUCUUAGAAGUAUAUGAGUGAAGGGAAUUAGUUCGAUAGAACCAGACUAAGACAUCCUGUUGCAGCCACUUUGCAGUAGAUUCAAUUGGGCCAAUGGGAUGGAACAUUUUGGAGGUAUACCCUCAGUAAAUGCCAGCCACUAGGACAAUGACUAUUCUUUGUCUUAAUAUCACUGUCUAAGGACAUUAAGUUCCCUUAUGGUGCUAAUGUGCUGUGAUUCCAAAGGCAACUAUUACUUAUCCUGGAUAUAGUCCAGAGCCUGAGCACAUUGCCCUCCUGAACAAUAUAAGCCUUUACCAUCAUCAUCAUCAUCAUCAUCAUCAUCAUCAUCAUCAUCAUCAGUAGUAUGGAGAAUGAUCAUUAUCUAGGGACUGAUGCCUACAUUUAGGACACACUACUAAGUGCUACUGAUGUUAUCCUAUUGAAUCCUCACAAUAACCCUACCGGGUAGUUGUUCUCACUCUCAACAUGCAGAUGAAUAAAGAAGAAACUGAGGUUCAAAUAGGUAUUGUUGUUUGCGCAAAGUCACCAAGCAAAUGGAAGAGAAGGAAUUCCAACUGCAUUCAGCACACUGCUGUUCUGCCACACAGAUAAAGUGGAUCAUGUUUUGCAUGCCUGCUGAGCAAAUAAAUGCAUGCUGUAAAUUCAGCCUCUUCCCUCCCAUUCAAGAAAGUAGAUUGUAUUGAAAGUCUGUGAGAAUGAUGUCACUAUAGGGGUAACCUUGAACCUACUUUAAUUUAUUAAAAGAGGAAGUGUUUGUACAAACAUUGGUAAUCUUGCUAAUAUGAUGACUGCUGGCUUAAAAGUUCCCAAACACCUGGUAGUCCCAAUAGGUGUAGUCCCCAAUAAUUCUAGAGUGUCCCUCAAAGAUACCUCACAUCUACCCAUAAAACAGCAUAUUAACUGUUAUCAUAUGUGGGUAUCAGUUACCUUUUUCUCUCUGUCUCUGCCUUCUACUUGUUUAUGUCCAUCAUCCACAUGGCGACCUGGAGUCAAUUUCCUACUGAACCAGGACCAUGCUUUUGUAUCAAGGUCAUGUAUCAGCACUUUCAUUUAUUCAUUCAUUCAUUCAUUCAUUCAUCCAUUCAACUAAUAUUUACUGAUGCUCUACUUUGUGCCAGGCACUGUUCUCAGACCUGGGGAAAGAAUGGUGAAUAAGACUAAUAGGUCCCUGCUCUUGUGUAGCUGAUGUUCUAGUUUGGGGUAUGAAAAAUAAACAAUUAACAAAUGGGUAGCUGAAUAAAUAAGAAAAUUUUAGAUAAAUAUAAGAAAUAUAAUGAAAAUAAGACUGCCAGGGUAGAGAAGCACUAGAUAGGAUGGCAUAGAAGACACUGUUGAAGCCCACCCCACAUCUUCUUGGCCCACCUUUGACUUCACUAGCAACUGCAAUGGUCAACUACCAGGCACACAAACAUUGUCCCACAUGCCUCUCUCCAUCUCUCCUUCUGAGGGUGUUUUCUGGUGCCAUAGGUGUGUGCCCCAGCCACACAUAGAGAUUGACUGUCCCCAGGCCAACCUUUAACCAAGGAGGGCAAUAGCCAGUGGAUAAAUACUCCAACUUCUCCAUCUCU